GGUUAACUUGAGUCCAUUUCUGUGUAGACAUACAUAAAAUAUGUGAGGGUGUGCUAUAAAGGCAUAGGAAUUUUUGUGGAGAAGGUGUUGUCAGAUGACCUAAAUGGGGACUGAACAAACCUUGAGGAACAUGAACAACUAGCAGAGGUGGCCAACAACCACAAUGCUUAGGUGCAGCAGUUCAUGCAGAAAGGUUGUACAAUAAGGGGACAAAAAUUCUGUGUGUACUUGGUGACAGCACAACCUCCACUACUCUGUCAUCCUGUGUUUCUAUGCUGAAUGCAAAUGUAUAGCUAUUUCAGUCAAAAGAAACUCAUUUUUCAGAAAUGUGCUUAUUCAAAAUACUCUUGCAAUAAAACCUUAUGC